UAGUAUUCAAUUGUCAGAGGUGAAAUUCUUGGAUUUAUUGAAGACUGACUACUGCGAAAGCAUUUGCCAAGGAUGUUUUCAUUAAUCAAGAACGAAAGUUAGGGGAUCGAAGACGAUCAGAUACCGUCGUAGUCUUAACCAUAAACUAUGCCGACUAGGGAUCGGAUGAUGCUAAUUUUUUAAUGACUCA
rnacentral:rRNA from 1 species